GAAUACAGCACCUACUAGAAUUUCCUAUUUAUAGAGUUGCUUUAAUUUGUAUUCAUCUCUUCAAACUAAACCACAAACUCAUCAACCACUUCAUUCAACACAGAGCACAAGGGAAGAAAAGGAGGAUAUACAUGAUGCAUCAUCAUCAGCAGAACAAGCCUAAUUCUUUCUGUGCAAACAUCAUGAA